ACUCCCAAUAAGCUCACUCCUCUUUGGCAACAGUGGUUGCCAUAGAUACGAUGACUCACAGCACUGUCAACUGUUUUCAACAUGGCGGCGCCCGUAUGAUUUGGAGGCAAACCAAACUAAAGAGGGUCAAUUCUAGCUUUUCAUCAUCCCCCAUCCACUGGAACUGAACCGGAGCGUCCCAGUCUGAAACCAGCUGCAUCUCUCUUACAGCCCCAACCUAACAUGACCAGUGCAACGGAAAAGGCGAGCAACGUUGGAGCCAUCCAGCUGUUCAGUUUGGAGCCAGACACCCGCUCAGCUCCAUUCUAGAUUUGUUCCAAAUCAGAUUGGGAAAUUAGGCAAGUUUUAGUCUAAAAAACUUUGAAAUCCAACACAAAAACC
rnacentral:lncRNA from 1 species